rnacentral:rRNA from 1 species
AAAAAGACGAUAAGACCCUAUAGAACUACACUUCAGUUUAGCUGGGGCGGCUUUUUAAAAAAAUCUUAUCUCAAUUCCUUAAAACCUAUUUUUAUGAAAGUUACCUUAGGGAUAACAGCAUAAUAUAAUUUUAUAGCUCAUAUAAAAAAUUACGAUUAUGACCUCGAUGUUGAAUUAAACCUCUGCUAGACGAAAAAAAUUAGCAAGAAAGUCUGUUCGACUUAUAAUAAUUUACAUGAUUUGAGUUCAGACCGGUGAAAACCAGGUCGGUUUCUAUCUUUUUUAAAGAUGUACCAGUACGAAAGGACCUUACAACUUACUAAAAGU